rnacentral:rRNA from 1 species
AGAGUUUGAUCCUGGCUCAGGAUGAACGCUAGCGGGAGGCCUAACACAUGCAAGUCGAACGGGAUUGAGAGCUUGCUCUCAUGAGAGUGGCGCACGGGUGAGUAACGCGUAUGCAACCUACCUAUAACUGAGGGAUAGCCCAUAGAAAUGUGGAUUAAUACCUCAUAGUUCUUUUGUUCCGCAUGGGAUGAAAGAUAAAGCUCCGGCGGUUAUAGAUGGGCAUGCGUGACAUUAGCUAGUUGGUAAGGUAACGGCUUACCAAGGCUACGAUGUCUAGGGGUUCUGAGAGGAUGAUCCCCCACACUGGUACUGAGACACGGACCAGACUCCUACGGGAGGCAGCAGUGAGGGAUAUUGGUCAAUGGGCGCAAGCCUGAACCAGCCAUCCCGCGUGCAGGAUGAAGGCCCUAUGGGUCGUAAACUGCUUUUAUACACCAAGAAAAACACCCA